rnacentral:misc_RNA from 1 species
CAACCCUCAAGCUCUGCUUGGUGUUGGGGAUCGGCGUAGCGGCCUUCGGGCCUGCUGCCGUCCCCUAAAUCUAGUGGCGGUCCCGCUGUAGCCUCCUCUGCGUAGUAGUUUUCUCCUCGCACUGGCAAGCUUAGUGGCGACCUCGCCGUAAAACCCCCAACUUCUGAAA